rnacentral:lncRNA from 1 species
GAUGGGAGCAAUGAUGCUGGUGAUUUUGAAUGCAAUAUCUGUUUUGAAUUGGCGCAAGAUCCCAUUGUGACACUCUGUGGUCACCUCUACUGUUGGCCAUGCCUUUAUAGAUGGCUACGCCUUCACUCACAAUCCUAUGAAUGCCCUGUUUGUAAGGCCCUUAUUCAGGAGGAGAAAUUAGUUCCUCUAUAUGGCAGAGGAAGGACUGCCUUCACUCACAAUCCCAUGAAUGCCCUGUUUGUAAGGCCCUUAUUCAGGAGGAGAAAUUAGUUCCUCUAUAUGGCAGAGGAAGGACUUCUACUGAUCCCAGAUCGAAACCAAUCCCAGGCCUUGAAAUUCCUAACAGGC